rnacentral:rRNA from 1 species
UACGUAGGGCGCAAGCGUUGUCCGGAAUUAUUGGGCGUAAAGAGCUUGUAGGCGGUUUGUCGCGUCUGCCGUGAAAUUUCGAGGCUCAACCUCGAACUUGCGGUGGGUACGGGCAGACUAGAGUGUGGUAGGGGAGACUGGAAUUCCUGGUGUAGCGGUGAAAUGCGCAGAUAUCAGGAGGAACACCUGUGGCGAAGGCGGCCCCCUGGGCCGGCCCUGACACUGAGACGCGAAGGCGUGGGGAGCGAGCGGG